rnacentral:rRNA from 1 species
GUGGGGAAUCUUAGACAAUGGGCGCAAGCCUGAUCUAGCCAUGCCGCGUGAGUGAUGAAGGCCCUAGGGUUGUAAAGCUCUUUCAGCUGGGAAGAUAAUGACGGUACCAGCAGAAGAAGCCCCGGCUAACUCCGUGCCAGCAGCCGCGGUAAUACGGAGGGGGCUAGCGUUGUUCGGAAUUACUGGGCGUAAAGCGCGCGUAGGCGGACUGGAAAGUUGGGGGUGAAAUCCCGGGGCUCAACCUCGGAACUGCCUUCAAAACUCCCAGUCUUGAGUUCGAGAGAGGUGAGUGGAAUUCCGAGUGUAGAGGUGAAAUUCGUAGAUAUUCGGAGGAACACCAGUGGCGAAGGCGGCUCACUGGCUCGAUACUGACGCUGAGGUGCGAAAGCGUGGGGAGCAAACAGGAUUAGAAACCCUUGUAGUCC